rnacentral:rRNA from 1 species
GUUAUAGGAUCAAGUGACUAAGUGCACAUGGUGGAUGCCUUGGCGAUCACAGGCGAUGAAGGACGUUAUAGCUUGCGAAAAGCGACGGGGAGCUAGCAAAUAAGCAUUGAUCCGUCGAUAUCCGAAUGGGGAAACCCACUGUCUUUGACAGUAUCCUGUACUGAAUACAUAGGUACAGUGAAGCGAACCGAGUGAACUGAAACAUCUAAGUAACUCGAGGAAAAGAAAUCAACCGAGAUUCCGAAAGUAGUGGCGAGCGAAAUCGGAACAGCCUGGACGAGAUAGUCACAUUGGUAGUUGAACGGGAUGGAAAGCCCGGCCGUAGCAGGUGAUAGCCCUGUAGACGAAACCUUUGUGGUGGUACUAAGCGUCGAAUAAGUAGGGCGGGACACGUGAAAUCCUGUCUGAAUAUGGGGGGACCAUCCUCCAAGGCUAAAUACUCGUGAUCGACCGAUAGUGAACCAGUACCGUGAGGGAAAGGCGAAAAGAACCCCGGAAGGGGAGUGAAAUAGAUCCUGAAACCGUGUGCAUACAAACAGUAGGAGCCUCCUUGUGGGGUGACUGCGUACCUUUUGUAUAAUGGGUCAGCGACUUACAUUCAGUGGCAAGCUUAACCGAAUAGGGAAGGCGUAGCGAAAGCGAGUCCGAAUAGGGCGAUUCAGUCGCUGGGUGUAGACCCGAAACCAGAUGAUCUAUCCAUGGCCAGGUUGAAGGCACGGUAACACGUGCUGGAGGACCGAACCCACUAAUGUUGAAAAAUUAGGGGAUGAGCUGUGGAUAGGGGUGAAAGGCUAAACAAAUCUGGAAAUAGCUGGUUCUCUCCGAAAACUAUUUAGGUAGUGCCUCGCGUAUUACUGCCGGGGGUAGAGCACUGUUAUAGCUAGGGGGUCAUGGCGACUUACCAAACUAUGGCAAACUCCGAAUACCGGCAAGUACAGCGCGGGAGACAGAGCACUGGGUGCUAACGUCCAGACUCAAGAGGGAAACAACCCAGACCGCCAGCUAAGGUCCCUAAAUAUUGCUAAGUGGGAAACGAAGUGGGAAGGCAUAGACAGUCAGGAGGUUGGCUUAGAAGCAGCCAUCCUUUAAAGAAAGCGUAAUAGCUCACUGAUCGAGUCGUCCUGCGCGGAAGAUGUAACGGGGCUAAGCAAUAUACCGAAGCUGCGGGUGUACGGAUUUAUCCGUACGCGGUAGGAGAGCGUUCUGUAAGCCUGUGAAGGUGACUGGAGACGGUUGCUGGAGGUAUCAGAAGUGCGAAUGCUGACAUGAGUAGCGAUAAAGGGAGUGAAAAGCUCCCUCGCCGUAAGUCCAAGGUUUCCUGCGCAACGUUCAUCGGCGCAGGGUGAGUCGGCCCCUAAGGCGAGGCAGAGAUGCGUAGCUGAUGGGAAGUUGGUUAAUAUUCCAACACCGUUGUUAAAUGCGAUGGGGGGACGGAUUGCGAAAUGUGAGCGGGUGAUUGGUUGUACCCGUGACUGGUACUGAGAAGGUGGUUAGGUAAAUCCGGCCGCGUAAUUCAAGGUAUUGGUGCGAAGCGAAUUUAUUCGUGAAGUCAUAGGAAGUGGUCCCAGGAAAAGCCUCUAAGCUUCAGUUUAACAAUGACCGUACCGCAAACCGACACAGGUGGACGGGAUGAAUAUUCCAAGGCGCUUGAGAGAACUCAGGAGAAGGAACUCGGCAAAUUAAUACCGUAACUUCGGGAGAAGGUAUGCCCUAGUAGCGUGUUAAAGCGCGAAUGGGCCGCAGAGAAUCGGUGGCUGCGACUGUUUAUUAAAAACACAGCACUCUGCUAACACGAAAGUGGACGUAUAGGGUGUGACGCCUGCCCGGUGCUGGAAGGUUAAGUGAUGGGGUGCAAGCUCUUGAUCGAAGCCCCAGUAAACGGCGGCCGUAACUAUAACGGUCCUAAGGUAGCGAAAUUCCUUGUCGGGUAAGUUCCGACCUGCACGAAUGGCGUAACGAUGGCCACACUGUCUCCUCCUGAGACUCAGCGAAGUUGAAGUGUUUGUGAUGAUGCAAUCUCCCCGCGGCUAGACGGAAAGACCCCAUGAACCUUUACUGUAGCUUUACAUUGAAUUGUGAACCGGCCUGUGUAGGAUAGGUGGGAGGCGUUGAAUUACGGUCGCCAGAUCGUAGGGAGCCAUCCUUGAAAUACCACCCUGGUUUGUUUGCGGUUCUAACCUAGGCCCGUUAUCCGGGUUGGGGACAGUGUAUGGUGGGCAGUUUGACUGGGGCGGUCUCCUCCCAAAGUGUAACGGAGGAGUUCGAAGGUACGCUAGGUACGGUCGGAAAUCGUGCUGAUAGUGCAAUGGCAUAAGCGUGCUUGACUGUGAGACUGACAAGUCGAACAGGUGCGAAAGCAGGACAUAGUGAUCCGGUGGUUCUGAAUGGAAGGGCCAUCGCUCAACGGAUAAAAGGUACUCUGGGGAUAACAGGCUGAUACCGCCCAAGAGUUCAUAUCGACGGCGGUGUUUGGCACCUCGAUGUCGGCUCAUCUCAUCCUGGGGCUGUAGCCGGUCCCAAGGGUAUGGCUGUUCGCCAUUUAAAGAGGUACGUGAGCUGGGUUUAAAACGUCGUGAGACAGUUUGGUCCCUAUCUGCCGUGGGCGUUGGAUACUUGACGGAGCCUGCUCCUAGUACGAGAGGACCGGAGUGGACAUACCUCUGGUGUAUCGGUUGUCAUGCCAAUGGCAUUGCCGAGUAGCUAUGUAUGGAAGAGAUAACCGCUGAAGGCAUCUAAGCGGGAAACUCGUCUGAAGAUAAGGUAUCCCGGGGGCUAGACCCCCCUGAAGGGUCGUUCGAGACCAGGACGUUGAUAGGUCAGGUGUGUAAGCGUAGUAAUGCGUUUAGCUAACUGAUACUAAUUGCCCGUGCGGCUUGAUCCUAUAACUCUGCAGGUUA